GGGCCCGCACAAGCGGUGGAGCAUGUGGUUUAAUUCGAUGAUACGCGAGGAACCUUACCAGGGCUUAAAUGCAGGCUGCAUGGGGUGGAGACAUCCCUUUCUUCGGACCGCCUGCAAGGUGCUGCAUGGUUGUCGUCAGCUCGUGCCGUGAGGUGUCAGGUUAAGUCCUAUAACGAGCGCAACCCCUACCGUUAGUUGCCAGCGAGUCAAGUCGGGGACUCUAACGGGACUGCCGGUGCAAACCGUGAGGAAGGUGGGGACGACGUCAAAUCAUCACGGCCCUUACGUCCUGGGCCACACACGUGCUACAAUGGCCGGUACAGAGGGAAGCCACCCCGCAAGGGGGCGCGGAUCUACAAAACCGGUCACAGUUCGGAUCGGGGUCUGCAACUCGACCCCGUGAAGCUGGAAUCGCUAGUAAUCG
rnacentral:rRNA from 1 species